UACGUAGGGUGCGAGCGUUAUCCGGAAUUAUUGGGCGUAAAGAGCUCGUAGGCGGUUUGUCACGUCUGCUGUGAAAGCCCGGGGCUUAACCCCGGGUGUGCAGUGGGUACGGGCUGACUGGAGUGCAGUAGGGGAGACUGGAAUUCCUGGUGUAGCGGUGGAAUGCGCAGAUAUCAGGAGGAACACCGAUGGCGAAGGCAGGUCUCUGGGCUGUUACUGACGCUGAGGAGCGAAAGCAUGGGGAGCGAAC
rnacentral:rRNA from 1 species